CCUUCUCUCUUUCUCUUCUCCCCCUCAAGCAUUCUUCCUUCUACCGUAGCUCCCCCAUCUUCUUUCACCUCCAUUCAUUUGCUUUUAUUUUUUCUAACUUCAUCAUCUACUUGUCUUGCCACCAUCAUCCUCCCAGUUGCACACCAUCCAUCUAAUUCGAGCACCCUUGGCCUUGAGCGUAGCUUUGACGAACCGUCGCCGGGAGUUCUUCAAUACACAAAUUGAGUAAGUUGUCUCCUAACUCUAGAUUAGGGGCUGAGUACAUGAAUUAGGGGUUUCUAUGUAGAUGAAAGAUGUAGAUGACGUUAUAUAUGGAUGGAUUUUGGUUAGGGAUAUUAGGAUGGACAUAAAAAAAGCUUAGAUAAGGUUUAGAGAGCAAGACAACCACCAUGGGUGAAGUUUUGGACAAGAACAGAAGCUGAUUUCUGAAAUAGUUUCCAGGAUGUGGGAGUUUUGCUAAUUUUAUAGAUGACUGUGUGUUGUGAUUUUGAAGAAAUUUCCUUCUGAAGAACUGUUAUAGACAUCCUAACUAAUAACAUAUAUUUUUCUCAGAAUUUUUAGAAUUUAAAAAGAUGACGAUUUUCAUGACGUCAUUCUUGAAACAGUAAUUCGGACAGUUCUGUAAACCGUGACAUGCUAUGAUUUUGAGGGCUGUUACUGACCUUUAGAAGUCGAAUUUCCAAUUGUUUUCUUCACGACAGUUGUUUGUUACAACUUUUAGUUUAACAUACUCGAAUUUCAAAUCAAACAAACUAGAUUUCGACCCAAAACUGAACUGAUUUCGAUGAGUUAGGCUCUCUGGAACUGGACCCGAUUUUUGUGUUGGAUAGAGGGAAUUUCUGGGCCGAAUCCAGAGGGAUAUAGAUCUCGGUCUCUUGAUAAAAAAUGUUUUUUUAUGUGUUGUCUGGUACAUUUCUAAAUUUGAAAAUUUUUCAAGCUCAUAUGAGUGGGUUUCCGACUUCGAAUUCGAGAGAGCAUAAUUGGACAGUUUUCUGUCAAUUUGGGUUAGUAAGAGUGUAUUCUUGUUUUGAAGUAUUCUUGCUGUAAAAUUGUCCAAUUGAUGUUGUGAAUGCUAUGUGUAAGUGAUUAUUGAAGUGUAACAUUGAUUAUAUGCAUUCACAACAUGAGAUUCUGCCACGAGCCUUUGGAGCUGGGCGAUGCUCCUUCAGGAAUGCCCCAAGUCAAUGAAUGCCGGUCAUAGUGGAUGCUGGACUGAUGGUCCUAAUCGAAAUGCCGCCUAGAGGUAGACGUUACCGCGCUUGAUGAUGCGAGGAAAGUACUGGUAUGAAGAAAGUGUGAGAAAGACGAUUAGAUUGCAUGUUGAGUGUACCCUUCUCCUAAUCUGGAUUUAGGGGAUUGACUUGCUAAGAUGUUAUCUCACCCCUUAGUGGGCUAACAUUUUCAGGUCCCUAGUUGGAGAGUGGACAGGCAAGAGGUAGAGGUCUAUAGGUAGUGGAGUACGGAUGCCUUGGUAGCUUCUGCCAGAUAGUGACAAGUCUACCGUCAGGUCUGGAUAGUGGGUGACCACUCACCCUAGUCUAUUGAAGAGUCUAGCAGGGUUGUACAUAAAGACCUGACCCCAUGGGCGAAGAGCUCAGAGUGUAGUUAGCCUAAGAUCUUUUCAUUUUGAAACACUCCAUGUUUUGUUAGACUCUUCUGUAUUUGAAUGCUAUAGUAAGAGUAAGUACGGUUUGUAAUACGUGUAUGGUUUGUAAAACUAUAAUCCUAUGUUUGCUAUC